CGAGUGAAGCGGCAACAGCUCAAAUUUGAAAUCUGGCCCUCGCGGUCCGAGUUGUAAUUUGUAGAGGAUGCUUUUGGUGCGGUGCCUUCCGAGUUCCCUGGAACGGGACGCCAGAGAGGGUGAGAGCCCCGUACGGUUGGACACCUACCCUGUAUAUAGCUCCUUCGACGAGUCGAGUAGUUUGGGAAUGCUGCUCUAAAUGGGAGGUAAAUUUCUUCUAAAGCUAAAUACCGGCCAAAGACCGAUAGCGCACAAGUAGAGUGAUCGAAAGAUGAAAAGUACUUUGAAAAGAGGGUUAAAUAGCACGUGAAAUUGUUGAAAGGGAAGCGUUUGCGACCAGACCUUUUCUUGGCGGAUCAUCUGGUGUUCUCACCGGUGCACUUCGCCAGGUUUAGGCCAGCAUCGGUUUCUUUAGGGGGAUAAAGGCGUUGGGAACGUAGCUCUUUCGGGAGUGUUAUAGCCCUUCGCGUAAUGCCCUUCGAGGGACCGAGGAUCGCGCAUUGCAAGGAUGCUGGCGUAAUGGUCGUCAACGACCCGUCUUGAAACACGGACCAAGGAGUCGAACAUUUGUGCGAGUGUUUGGGUGUUAAACCCUCACGCGUAAUGAAAGUGAACGGAGGUGAGAGCCCUUACGGGUGCAUCAUCGACCGAUCCUGAUGUCUUCGGAUGGAUUUGAGUAAGAGCAUAACUGUUCGGACCCGAAAGAUGGUGAACUAUGCGUGGAUAGGGUGAAGCCAGAGGAAACUCUGGUGGAGGCUCGCAGCGGUUCUGACGUGCAAAUCGAUCGUCAAAUCUGCGCAUGGGGGCGAAAGACUUAUCGAACCAUCAAAACCAGCAGUAUUAACUAGGUGGUUAAGAGGCUCCUCGUUACAGAGGAAACCUAGGUCGUGGGAGCAGCUACCCUAGAGCUACCCUAUAGACCGACACCGCUAAAUUGCGGGAACAUCCUAUCAAAGGCUACGAGCUACCGCCGGGCGCUGAAAAGCGUGUUUUGGCACCAAGAAUAGCGCUCUUGGGUAUGGUAAAAACGCUUGUAGUACCGGAUUACCUGCAGCCAACCCCGUUAGUGGGGAGAGUUCACAGACUAGACAGCGGUGGGUUGGCACGGCGGGCAAGCGUGCCAGCUUAAGAUAUAGUCGAUUCGGCGUCUGAAAAGA
rnacentral:rRNA from 1 species